UACGUAGGGGGCAAGCGUUGUUCGGAAUUACUGGGCGUAAAGGGCGCGUAGGCGGCACGGCAAGUCGGGAGUGAAAGGCCUGGGCUCAACCGAGGAACUGCUUUCGAGACUGCCGAGCUAGAGUGCGGAAGGGGCAACCGGAAUUCCCAGUGUAGCGGUGAAAUGCGUAGAUAUUGGGAAGAACACCUGAGGCGAAGGCGGGUUGCUGGGCCGACACUGACGCUGAGGCGCGAAAGCCAGGGGAGCAAGCAGG
rnacentral:rRNA from 1 species